rnacentral:rRNA from 1 species
AUUGAACGCUGGCGGCAGGCCUAACACAUGCAAGUCGAACGAGUGGCGGACGGGUGAGUAAUGUCUGGGAAACUGCCUGAUGGAGGGGGAUCACUACUGGAAACGGUAGCUACUACCGCACACCAUCAGAUGUGCCCAGAUGGGUUUAGCUAGUUGGUGGGGUAACGGCCCACCAAGGCGACGAUCCCUAGCUGGUCUGAGAGGAUGACCAGCAACACUGGAACUGAGACACGGUCCAGACUCCUACGGGAGGCAGCAGUGGGGAAUAUUGCACAAUGGGCGCAAGCCUGAUGCAGCCAUGCCGCGUGUAUGAAGAAGGCCUUCGGGUUGUAAAGUACUUUCAGCGGGGAGGCGUUACCCGCAGAAGAAGCACCGGCUAACUCCGUGCCAGCAGCCGCGGUAAUUC